AAACAGGUUAAUAUUCCUGUACUUGGUGUUACUGCGAAGGGGGGACGGAGAAGGCUAUGUUAGCCGGGCGACGGUUGUCCCGGUUUAAGCAUGUAGGCGGAGGUUCCAGGUAAAUCCGGUACCUUUUUAACGCUGAGGUGUGAUGACGAGGCACUACGGUGCUGAAGUAACAAAUGCCCUGCUUCCAGGAAAAGCCUCUAAGCAUCAGGUAACAUUAAAUCGUACCCCAAACCGACACAGGUGGUCAGGUA
rnacentral:rRNA from 1 species